rnacentral:tRNA from 1 species
AGGAUUGUAGUUAAUUAUAACAUCUGGGUUGCAUUCAGAAAGUACAUUGAAGUCUAUCUUU